rnacentral:rRNA from 1 species
AUGCAACUUCUUUCUGGGGGCCACAUGGUUGUGGCUGUGAACGGCAUGAUCACUAAUUAUUUCGCCAAUGGUCGUGGCCUGCGGCAAGGCGAUCCGGCUUCGCCUAUCUUGUUUAACUUUAUGGAUGAUGCAUUAUCUUGUAUACUGGAUCGUGCAACCUCAGCUGGUCAUAUCACCCCUGUCGUUUCCCACCUUCUCCCACGCGGUAUCACGCACCUCCAAUACGCUGACGAUACGAUCAUCUUGGUGGAGAUGAAUGAGGCAUGUCUUGCCAACCUUAAGUUUAUCUUGUUACAUUUUGAAGCCUUGUCGGGGUUGAAGAUUAACUUUUCUAAAAGUGAGGUGAUUGUGACUAGGGCUAAUGUGACUUGA